rnacentral:lncRNA from 1 species
UGUCUUCUUAAUAAUUCCAAAUACAUUCAAGGUCGAUCAUUUCGUGUGAAACGGUGAUCCAAUGCAUCCAACCAUCCCUGGCUUGAUGAAACCAAGUGGUGUUGUCAUUGUUCUAAAUUCCAAUGUUCGCUUCUUUGAGUUCGGACCAAGCUCAUUAUGCACCCUUUCAGUGAAUUAUAUUGUGCUUGCGUUCUGCUUGCAGUCUUAGAAUCACCAGGAGAAAGAUCCGUAACUUUUUGCAGUGUCAAUGGCCUUG